GAUGAACGCUGGCGGCGUGCCUAAUACAUGCAAGUCGAGCGAACGGACGAGAAGCUUGCUUCUCUGAUGUUAGCGGCGGACGGGUGAGUAACACGUGGAUAACCUACCUAUAAGACUGGGAUAACUUCGGGAAACCGGAGCUAAUACCGGAUAAUAUUUUGAACCGCAUGGUUCAAAAGUGAAAGACGGUCUUGCUGUCACUUAUAGAUGGAUCCGCGCUGCAUUAGCUAGUUGGUAAGGUAACGGCUUACCAAGGCAACGAUGCAUAGCCGACCUGAGAGGGUGAUCGGCCACAAUGGAACUGAGGAACGGUCCCGACUCCUACGGGAGGCAGCAGUAGGGAAUCGUCCGCAAUGGGCGAAAGAAUGACGGAGCAACGCCGCGUGAGUGAGGAAGGUCUUCGGAUCGUAGAACUCUGUUAUUAGGGAAGAACAUAUGUGUAAGUAACUGUGCACAUCUUGACGGUACCUAAUCAGAAAGCCACGGCUAACUACGUG
rnacentral:rRNA from 1 species